ensembl:lncRNA
CUGAAUCUCUGUGCUACCCCACCUCUGACCAACAAUCUUCCUUUCCUCCUGCUGGGGCCACCCUAGCGGCCAUAACUAAGCAUGCUGAGUCAUCACUUGGAAGGGAGCUACCUAGGAGGAGGAGCCUUGAAUCAGAGCUAAAUGAAGGAGAAACAAGCUUGCAUGUACCAAGACCCUCUGUUUUGGGACUCUUCCUCCAGCCCAAGAAAAUGGGACACACUGCAUUCCGGCACAGCAGAAAAAUUUCCCAUAUGUUACAUCCUGCUCCUUUCCCAUUUCAUAGCUUAAAAGCAGAACUCUUCAUUAAUUUGAGGCUCCUAGAGGAGUCAGAUUCACAGCAGUGGAAAGUAGGAUGGUGGAUGCCAGAGGGAGAGAGAAUGACGCAGAGUUGCUUCGUUGCUUCAGAGUUUCAGUUCUGGAAGAUGAAGUUCUAGAGCUGGAGCUGGUGAUGGCUGCACAACAAUGCAAUGACCCUUCUGCUAAUAAUUGCUUCCAAGAUUUUAUCUUUGUUUUUGGCUUUCAACAGUUUGACUGACAUGACUAAGGCAGUUUUGCCUGCUACUAUCUACUCCAUCUUUCCAGGAAGUGAAACUCCCUCUACGCUUCAAAACAGCAACAGGUGAAAAUGCCUGGGGAAUAAUAAGGUAAUGAAGAAGACAAGCGAGGAAAUGGGUAGUGGUCUCUCCAGAGAAUUCAAGGGGCUUCUAUUUUGGGGUCAUUGAGAGGAUCCAAUAAAUACCACCCUUUUCGCCAAC